rnacentral:tRNA from 1 species
UGGAUCACCUCCUAACAGGGAGACAACAAAAUGUUAAAUAUUAAUUUUGUCACCUUAGGUCGAUCGGUACCUCACAUUCUUAACUUUUUAAGAAUUAUUAUUUCCUAAGUUUUUCUAGGUCACACCCAUUAUUUUUCCUGGGCCAUUAGCUCAGGUGGUUAGAGCGCACCCCUGAUAAGGGUGAGGUCCCUGGUUCAAGUCCAGGAUGGCCCAUAUCUCUAUGUUGGGGGUAUAGCUCAGUUGGUAGGGCGCCUGCUUUGCAAGCAGGAUGUCAGCGGUUCGAGUCCGCUUACCUCCACUGAUUACCACCUCUUCCAUAAUUUUUAGAGGGAAAAUUUUGAGUUGUGAUCUACUUCUGAACGAAUCUAGCUUCCUAAUUAAACUUAUUAAGAUGCUGGACUCAUUGAAUUAAUUUCAUUGUUUUCAGAGAACCUUGACAACUGCAUAGAUCAUUUUUAAAGACAAUAAGCAUCUUUAAUGAUGCAGAUUUAUUAUUUGUGCGAAUGCAUUAAUAACAAUUCUAUUAAGCUGAUGCUUCAAUUUUUGAAGUUAUUGGUCAAGCUACAAAGGGCUCACGGAGGAUACCUAGGCACACAGAGGCGAUGAAGG